CAAAACACUCCGAAAACAACAAUCAUAAACAAAAAUUAAAUCGAGCCUAAUAUUCUAGACUGCUUCAGCAAGCAUAGAAAAAAUGAAUUCUAGAAAAAUCUAAAAGCCAAAUGUAUCUUGAGAAACAAAUUUCAAGGGAAAAACCUUUCAUUUCCUAAACAAGCACGAAACAUAUCAUCAGAAUUCUACUUCCCCUUUCAUCUACAACUAUGGUUUUUCAAUCCAGGGCCUCUAUCCAUCGGCGAUCAACUUCUACCAUUGCUUCUGCAAACUUCGACACAUCGUUCAUCAGGAAAAUAUUUGUUCUUUGCUUAAUCCCUUCAUUCGCUAAUUGAUGCGCCGCUCCAUAGGCCAAUCUCUACACAUGCAUAAAGUAAGAGAGUCCCCUUCAGCUUCCAAACUUCUGAUAUUCAAAUCUAAGCACAUCUUCAAGGCCAUAGCACAAGCCACUGCUUUAGCAGUAAACGGCGACGGAAUAUUCUCGUGAAAGCAUCGAAAUUGACUUUUACACGUGUUUCUCAUCCUUUUCCACCGUUCCAUGACUCCACAUUUCUCAGGCACCAGUCUUUGUCGCUCGUAUUUUCCAACUUUUGGGCCAUUUAAAGCUCAAAUUUUCCCAGACCUCUUCUGUAAAUCUAUAGUCGCGCAACGCAUGUAGGACUGUUUCUGCUUCUUUAUCGCAUCUAAGGCAACGUGUCGUGCUCAUCAAUAUCUUGUAAUAUAGGUUGUUGAAAGUAGGAAUAAAAUUGCAAGUUACAGGUCACACUAUAAUCUUGAUUUUUGGUGGCACAUUUAACAGCCACAAUUUUUUGUAAAGAUUUCCUUAUGUAUCUUGUUCUUAUCUAGCAGUAGGGUUUGUAAGGCCUUCUAUUAGGAGGUUGUAACCACUACGAACAAAAUAUUCUUCAGACACUUCACCUCUCCAUGCUAUGUGAUCAUCGCUUGGGCAUUAUGGCAAAGGAAUUUUGAAAAUCUUUUCAGCAUCCCUUUCACUAAAGGUAUUGAGGAUUGUAUCAAUUUUCCAUCUUCUAGUAUUAGGUUCUAUCAAAUCUGCAACUAGUUGCA